GUCACGGUGCUACGAAACGCCGUCUCCGGCACAGUUUUCCUCAGCGCGACCCUUUCCUCGGGUGUGGCACCAAACUCGACGGACGCCGUUUCCGGUACCGCUGCUCGCAGGGACGAACCGAACGCGGGAGACCGCUAUACAGAAAAUGGGAUAUACGGUUCGGUGGUCUACUAUUGAGUCAUCCGAGUGUGUACCGGGCGGCGACACCGCCGCCACUGGACGGUCCACUUGUUACGGAGACCUUGACUGAACCGUCACUGCGUUAUUCCCGCAUAAGCCAGCUCUAGAACAUGCGGUGAAUUCAAUGGGCUCGCAAUAAGGAAUCGAGGAUAUCAGGAUAAAGUCAGAAUGUCAGAAAAACUGAAGUUGGACUGAUAACUAUACAGGAAAAAUGUUGAUUUAUGUAUUAAUAUAUUGUUUAUAAAUUUUUAAAAUCAGAUAUUGAUGUGUAAGUUUUCUUUUGGCCGAGUAGAAACACAAAGUUCAA